CCAAUAGCGUAUAUUAAAGUUGUUGCAGUUAAAAAGCUCGUAGUUGAACUUCGGGAUCAAUUAGUUGGUCAUGCCUUUGGUAUGUACUGAUUUUAUUGGUUCUCACCUUCUAAAGAACUAUAAUGUCAUUUAUUUGAUGUUAUAGGGAAUUAGGACUGUUACCUUGAAAAAAUUAGAGUGUUUAAAGCAGGCUCACGCUUGAAUACAUUAGCAUGGAAUAAUGAAAUAGGACAUCGCAUUCUAUUUUGUUGGUUUCUAGGAUCGAUGUAAUGAUUAAUAGGGAUAGUUGGGGGCAUUAGUAUUCAAUUGUCAGAGGUGAAAUUCUUGGAUUUAUUGAAGACUAACUACUGCGAAAGCAUUUGCCAAGGAUGUUUUCAUUAAUCAAGAACGAAAGUUAGGGGAUCGAAGACGAUCAGAUACCGUCGUAGUCUUAACCAUAAACUAUGCCGACUAGGGAUCGGAUGAUGUUGAUUUUUUUAAUGACUCAUUCGGCACCUUACG
rnacentral:rRNA from 1 species